GGUUAUGGCUCAGCGGUAGAGUGCUUGCCUAGCACGUGUGAGGCACUGAGUUCAAUCCUCAGCACCA
rnacentral:tRNA from 1 species